AGUUGGUGAGGUAAAGGCUUACCAAGGCGACGAUCAGUAGCUGGUCUGAGAGGANGACCAGCCACACUGGGACUGACACACGGCCCAGACUCCUACGGGAGGCAGCAGUGGGGAAUUUUGGACAAUGGGGGAAACCCUGAUCCAGCCAUGCCGCGUGAGUGAAGAAGGCCUUCGGGUUGUAAAGCUCUUUCAGCCGGAACGAAAAGGUCACGGCUAAUACCUGUGACUAGUGACGGUACCGGAAGAAGAAGCACCGGCUAACUACGUGCCAGCAGCCGCGGUAAUACGUAGGGUGCAAGCGUUAAUCGGAAUUACUGGGCGUAAAGCGUGCGCAGGCGGUUUUGUAAGUCAGAUGUGAA
rnacentral:rRNA from 1 species